rnacentral:lncRNA from 1 species
CUGAGGUGGAAAGGACCACUUGAACCCAGGAGUUUGAGGCUUCAUGGCACGAUCUUGGCUCACUGCAAGCUCCGCCUUCUGGGUUCACGCCACUCUCCCGCCUCAGCCUCCUGAAUAGCUGGGACUACAGGCGCCUGCCACCACGCCCAGCUAAUUUUUUUUUUUUUUUUUUAGUAGAGACGGGGUUUCACUGUGUUAUCCAGGAUGGUCUUGAUCUCCUGACCUGUGAUCCGCCCGCCUCGGCCUCCCAAAGUGCUGGGAUUACAGGUGUGAGCCACCGUGCCCGGCCAUAAACUUGUGUUAUUUUAAGCCACUAAGUUUGUGAGAAUUUUCUGUGGCACUAAUAGGAAAAGAAUACACAGAUCAAUAAAUCCAAUCCCUGAGUCAGUAGGUCUCAUAUUUAGCUGCACCUUAGAACCACCUGGGGAUCUUUUACAACUCCCAGUGCCCAGGCCACACCCAGACAUUAAAAUAGUAUCUUGGGGUAGGACCCAAGCAUCAGAAGUUUAAAGUUCCACAGGUGUUUCCAACAGCAAGGCUGAGAACUGCUUCAGGCUAACCAUAUGGAAUAGCUCGCUUCCUUGCCUCAUGGUAACUGGGAGCCCUAGUGGUAGGGGG